UUGACUUUUCCUUUCUUUAAUUUACCUUGUGGGACUGUGGGAAAUGAGCAAUCCUUCUGGCUGUCAGUGCUGCUGCUGGUGGCGUGGUGGGGGGGAUGCAAAAGCGAUGCACCCCAGGACUGGCAUCUCCUUCUCACUCUGGCUGGAGCUGACAGUGCUGCAGCCAGCAGGAUGCUUGUGGCUCCCAGACAGUGGCUUUUGCAUCAACUCUCCCUCUGCCCAACCUGCCCCAGCCCUUCUCUCUCCUUCCCCUGCCUCCUCUCUCCACAGAUGCCAGAGCUUUCAUGACGUUUUUUGGGGCCACCCAACCCCAAUUGGUGAUGUCUUCUUCCAUGACUUCAGGACAAAGGAAAGCAAUCUGGGAUUGCAGGUGACCAGAAAGAGAAGGGCAACACCUGCUUUGUAAUUGGGAACUAAGUGAGGUGUUGCAGCUGAGUGUGGUGUGGCUGGGAGGAAGGAGGGGAGGAGAUAAAAGGGAUGUAGGUGGACUUGAGGUGCUUGUUGGCUUGGCACCGUUCUCUGGGCAGGCCUGGGGAAAGCAAAGCUGUGGGAUUGUGAAGUCAUAGAAUGGCUUAGGUUGGAAGGACCUUGAGGAUCUGUGAACUCCACCACCUGCUGUAGCUGGCAGCUCAGGCUGCCCGGGGACCCAUCCAUGGCCUGGGGCACCUCCAGGGAUGGAGCGCCCACAGCUCUGGUCAGCCCUGCAAGUGCCUCAUCACCCUCUGAGAACUCUCAUCCUCGGAGACACCUGCUUGAGCUCACAAACUACUGAAACGACACAAGUUGAUCAUUUCCACCGUGCUGCUCCCAUGAUGGAAUGGAUCAAAGUGUGUUGGGUUCCCAGGGCGCGGAUCUGCCCCAAUAAUCAUACAGCACUCUGGGCAGUGCUGGGAUGUUUGCAUGGGCAGUGAGCAGGGGACAUCCCAACUGAGCCCACCGGCUGCCAGCGGUGUUUCCAUGGAUAUGAGCAGUGCUGACCUCCUCACUGCCUCGCUUGUUGCUGCCAUUCCCUGAGGUUCCUGGCAAUUUUGUUGAGACUGAGCCUAGGAGACCUGCUGCUCUUCCUGUAUUUUGCAGCCGUGGCUGCUUCAACACCAGCUGUGGUCUAACAGGGCUCCACAUCUGCUGUCCAGCACAAGGGAUUGCAAUGCCUGGUUGCAACUGGGAAGGGUUUGAUGGAAGGAGCUCUACUUCCUUGCUCUCUAAGAUCCACCAGUGAGCCUCCCAUGCAAGCCAGAGCUGAGUUGCGUUAUUGCCGACAUUCUUGCUUUGUUCAGAAAAACGCUGCAAUUGGAGAAGCUGGUAUUUUGCAAGACAGCAGACCCCAGCAGCUGUUCCUGCCUGCAAGCAUCCCAGAUGUGAGCUGCACCUUUCCAAGCACUUCCUUCUGCUCACGGGCACCAUGGCAUAUCACUUCCUAAAGAGAGGGAAGGUCUGGAGGAAGGGAAGGAUCUACCUUCAGGUACACGGAUCAUCCCCCUGAGCUCAUCACCCCCUGAUCUUCCUAAUGAGCCACAGGUGGAAGUGCUGAGAGCAAAACCCAGGUCUCACUGCCAAACCAUGCCAAGUGGUCACAGCAUCUUCCCCACGGCCCCACCAGGGGCUGGCAGGAGCUGCGGCUGUUCCCCAUGGGAUGUCUGUGCCCAUGACCUGGUGAAGGUCAAGCAGGGAUCAGUGGCUGCAGUUCAAACCUGGCACCGGGGCUAAAAGGUUGAUGCAGUAACUCUGAAAACUGCUAAACAAGAAAUAGACUCCUUUACAAGAAAAAAAAUAAAGUCCCUGGGAGAAGA